rnacentral:rRNA from 1 species
GAUGAACGCUGGCGGCGUGCCUAAUACAUGCAAGUCGAGCGAACGGACGAGAAGCUUGCUUCUCUGAUGUUAGCGGCGGACGGGUGAGUAACACGUGGAUAACCUACCUAUAAGACUGGGAUAACUUCGGGAAACCGGAGCUAAUACCGGAUGAUAUUUUGAACCGCAUGGUUCAAAAGUGAAAGACGGUCUUGCUGUCACUUAUAGAUGGAUCCGCGCUGCAUUAGCUAGUUGGUAAGGUAACGGCUUACCAAGGCAACGAUGCAUAGCCGACCUGAGAGGGUGAUCGGCCACACUGGAACUGAGACACGGUCCAGACUCCUACGGGAGGCAGCAGUAGGGAAUCUUCCGCAAUGGGCGAAAGCCUGACGGAGCAACGCCGCGUGAGUGAUGAAGGUCUUCGGAUCGUAAAACUCUGUUAUUAGGGAAGAACAUAUGUGUAAGUAACUGUGCACAUCUUGACGGUACCUAAUCAGAAAGCCAGGGCUAACUACGUG